rnacentral:rRNA from 1 species
AGGAAGUGGGAUGAUGUCAAGUCAGCAUGGCCUUUAUAUCCUGGGCUACACACACGCUACAAUGGCCAACACAAUAGGUUGCUAAGCCGCGAGGUGGCGCCAAUCCAUAAAGUUGGUCUCAGUUCAGAUUGUAGGCUGCAACCCGCCUGCAUGAAGAUGGAGUUGCUAGUAACCGCAGGUCAGCAUACUGCGGUGAAUACGUUCUCGGGCCUU